GGAGGCAGACAAUAAUAGAAUAAAUAACUAAAAUAUACCAUCUGUUUUAAAAGUGCUUCUAUAAAGGAAAGUAAAAAUCAGGGGUGAGGAGCUGAGGUCGGGGAAGUUGAGAUUCAAAAUGUGUCUAUCAGGGAAGGCUUCCCAGUAAAGGGGGCUUCUGAGCAAAACCUGAAGAGGGUAAAGGGACAGUCCUGUGGGAAGACAGUUCCAAGUGGAAGGGAGUGUAUGUGCAAAGGUCCUGAGGCAGGGCCAAAGGGCCAGCAGGGAAGCCUUCUUGGUGAGCAGAGGACAGAGGGUGGGGACAAGGCCCCCUUCCCACAGCAGGGCGGCAUCAGAAGCCUUCGGUUUUCAUUCCAGGUGAAAUGGAAACCCCCCAAGGGGCCAAUGGAGGAAACACAGGAACAGAUUCAAACUUCUGAACGUCCCUCCUGCUGCCGAUGUCCCGGGCGGAAGUGUGCCGUCCGUCAGGAGCUGCCCCGGGUCUGGGCCCUGCAACCCCAGCUCCACCCUGACCAGCUAGCCCUGCACGGUUUGCCAGGGGCGGGGAGACUGCCUUUUCUGCCUUCUGGUGGCCCUUUUGUAGCUGUUUCCUGGGCUCUGUCUCCUCGUGGAACGAAGUAACGCCUGAAGCAGCCCGUGUCUGGAGCGCGGCCCCUCUUAUGCCCUGGCCGCCGAAGGACAGGAGAGUCUCACUAAGCCUCACGUUGGCUCGUCAUCUGUUCUGCAAGUGAGGACAAGGGGGCACCAGAGAGGCUGACGUGAUUCACCACGUGUGCGCUUACGGCCACCACGUCCAGGAGCUGCGUCUCUCCCCCGGGGCCCACGCUGCCCCCGCCCCAGCUCCCGUCCAUCAGUACCACAUUUCGCUUUGCACAUUUCCUGGGGGAAGAAUCCUAAUUUGGCUUUGGAAGUACUAUUAAUACCAACUUUACACUUUUCUUUGUCCAUUUGGAGCCAUUUGUUUUUUCUUUUCCGGGUCUCAAACAAUUCUGCAGACCUGUGAUGAGCCGGCUGGCCCGGCCGCACCCACACCCGCUGCCCCCCGCGCCCACAGCCUUAUCGUCGCUCCUGCAGGCCAGCUGACUCCGGGUUGGCUCUGCACAACAGAACUUCCUGGCGUCUGUCCCUGCCCUCGGGAACAUUCUGCCCUUCCUGGGAACAUGCCUUUGAGCUUGCCGAAGUCUGGUUUCCCUCCUACGCAUCCUGAGAGCUGCUUGCAAGAGACGAUGGACCAGCUUCACCUGCCCCCUCACUCCCCGGGCCUCAGCGCCUUCCCUGCACCCAGGUUGCCCGCGAGCAUCGAUUUCACACAGAUGAACAGCUCCUUCCCAUGGGAGUUCAAGAUAACUCCUGCCACUCAGUCAUCUUUAAAAUUGUUCCUUAACUGUCCCUGUCCCGAGUUUCAUUUUUCCUCAGCGUUCAAUUAAAUUAAGCUGCUA